CUGAGGAAGUGUCUCUGGCCCGGCCAGCCUGGCCCUCCUCUUCCUGUUUCCCAGUGGGCCUUGUGGGCGGGACUGCAGGCCUGUUCUGUGUGCUCCUGGAUUCCCUGUCCUUCAGGAAAGACACAGCUGCAGCUCUGGCCUUCAUGCCUCAGGCCCUGAGUGGGGUGGCAGCACUGCCCCCUUCCGAGGCACACAGUGUGGUGGACCAUGGGGACACUUCGGAAGGCCUCAUCUUCCCUCUGUGCAGUUAUUGCCAACCCAGCACAGCCUGUGAGGCCUUCUAAAGCCCAGGAUCCCUGGGUGCGGGCCGACAGGGCCUGCCCUGCAGCAGCCUCCAGUGGCAGGAGGGGUCAAGCGGGCCUUCCGGAACCUUCUCGCUCCUUGUGAUGGGCCUGGGGCGGAGCCAAUGACCUCAUGCCUCAUUGUGGGUUUGAUUGUUCCAAUGGCCUAUUGCCAUGGGAAGUUGGCGAGUCCCCUUCCAGCCCCAUUGUUUAAACUGGAGUAGGGGAGGUAGGGUGCAGGAUUCAGCUUAGCUGGGUGGCACGGUCACCCCUGGCCUGGGGGAUCUCAAGGCCCCUUUCCUGCCCCUGGCAAGCGACUGGCAGGAGGACGCUGGCCGAGCUGGGUUCUGAAAUCAUUUCCUACGAGGAUGUUGCGGCCCCUGCAGACCAGUGGUGCCCUGCGCAUGCUGUGGGGCUGCCUCUCCCGGUCCUACUGUGUCCUCCUCUCUGAGUGGACAUGGCAGAGCCACCAGGCCCCCACGGUGGCCCCCACGUUCUGGGUGGGUGGGAGGAGCCAGGGUUAGAGGGGAGGGACAGGAUUCUGGCUCCCAGGGCCGUCCUGAGA
rnacentral:lncRNA from 1 species